ACUUACCAAGCCUUCAAUUUUAUUGAUUAGGCAGUUAUGAAAGUUUAUUUUUUUCCUACUUUAAAGAAGUUUAGAAAUAAGUAUUAUCUAUUGAACUGAUAAUCAGUCCAAAAUAGGAUAUUUGUGAAAAUUAGCCCACAAAUUGUCAACUGUCUCAUCCACUUUGCAUUUGUAAAGAAUAUAAGCAUUACUUAUAAGUGAUGCAAUUCCUCUCACAUUUCAAAAUACGCCCUUAUAAUGGAGUUAGUAGAAAAAAUGUAUAACAUGAAACACAAGUAUCAUCCAAUAGUUUUGAUUGCAUUAAACACCAAUGUUUUAUGUCUUAUAUUAACAUAACACCCAAGGCUAUUCCCAAUAUUCUAUUUGCUAAAAUAUUUUUCUCUACUCUAAUUUUUGACAUAUAAAAGUCAGGUAUAAAAUAACUGGGGAAACAUACUAUAUGGAUUUUUAAUUGGAAGUAAAAUUAAGGACUUAUUAUUUCAUGCCUAAUCAGUUUAUCUACCAAAUGCCCACCCACCACAUUCAGAGUUUUAUGUCACAUGUUACUUGCUCAGUAGCUUCAAAAAUCGACUAGACAUAAAUUAGAAUAUUAAUUAGUACCCAACAAUGUGUCGAAUUAGAAAGAAUAUAUCCAGUUUAGUUGCAAAGAAUUUGAUUUUAAUAUGAAAUAAUGAUACAUUUAAAAAUUAUAAUAAAACUCUCUGCUAAAAUGUUUCUUAAUGUGCUGUAACACCAGAGCCACCUUUAUUUAUUACAAAUAAUAAAACUUGAUUAGUGCUAAACUAAUCAAAUUCAAAUCAAUUCAACUACAUACAUUUCAGUGAAAUAGUGUUUAAGAAAUGCAAAAUAAACUAAAAAAUGAAAAGUUCAUUGCCUUAAUCAAAAGCAGUGAGCUUUAAAUUUCAACCAACCAGGCGACGUUUGUCAUUUCCCAGUUGUGUUCUCAGUGGAAAGUUGCCAAGGACGUUUGACAUCUCUUAAACUUGCUGUCUCAUUUGUCCCCUUAUGUUAAUAUGUUAAACUGUAGGACAGAAAGAAGAGGACAGCCACAGUUCUAUUAAAAUGCGUACUUCUAGGGCUGGCCCAGUGGCGUGGUGGCUAAAUUCGCAUGCUCCACUUCAGUAGCCCAGAGUUCACUGGUUCAGAUCCCAGGCGCAGACCCAUAUACCACUGGUCAAGCCAUGCUGUGGCAGCAUCCCACAUAUAAAAUGGAGGAAGAUUGGCAUGGAUGUUAGCUCAGGGACAAUCUUCCUCAUGCAAAAAAAUGAAAAGAGGAAGAUUGGCAACAGAUGUUAGCUCAGAGCCAAUCUUCCUCACACACACACACACAAACAUACUUCAGCAUUCGUAAAUACCAUACAUGGUGUAAAAGGAUCCUUAAUUCCAGAAGGAAAUGUGUACUCUCUCUCAUUUCCUUAGUGCUUGGUUUUUUUCUUUCUGUUUCCUGUGUCUAAUGGUGCCCAACUAAUUUGGAACAAUAAGGGAUCCUAUUAGUUAAUUGUCCCAGGGUUGGAGACAUCAGGGCUCUUAUAUUAGAAUGAAAAACAGUGAAUGAAUACAAGACUGCAGUAUCUAAAUAACUACAAAAGCCAAAAAUCAUUUUUUUGUCAUAAAUUCAAAAAUGGUGAUUGCAAUGAAAAUAUUUUUUCAGUAAUUUUACAAAGUUUCUACCAAAGGAAGGGUGUUGAAUUAAUACAUUCAGGCAACUAGUGCUUUCUGCUGCGUCCUAUAUAAGGAAAGUGGAAAUAUCGGUAGGUGUGGAGUUAGAAGUUAAGGAAGCAUUUGAAACAGAACCUGAGCCUUUCUAGUGUAAUAAACCAAGUCUGCCCUUUUGACUUGGUCUGACUGGUCGUAUCUAUUCUGACCCUAUCUUGAUCUUCAAUUUCAAGGCAGCAAGGCUCCAGCUACAAAGAUCAUUUCCUUCCAAGUAUUUGGUUUUUCUGUCUUCCUUACAGGAAAGUAGAAGAUGUUUGGAUAUCAGUGUAUGUUCUAUAUCCCUUAGUUGAUGGUUUCAGCUACUGUAAGGAUCCUGGGAAUUUUUAAUAAUAGUUGAGGUCCCAUUAAACUUAGUUCUCAAGUAGCUUCUUAGAGUUCAUUCAUCAAAUAAUUCAGGGUGUAAAAGUAGCACAUAAACAUUAAUUGAACAACCAUUAAGCAGGAUGCCUGUUUGGUUUUGGCUGAUGGAGGACGUAAAGCUUUGUACCCUGUGGUGGAAAACAAUUAGGUCUGAUGAGGAACAUGCCAUUAAGUAUCCUACUACCAGACUUAGACCGGUUAUGCUUUACAAAAUCACAGCCAGCUGUAGUCAGAAGCCUGUCCGAGUUACAGGAAGUCAUAUUUUUACUGUCGUGGCUUAGCUGCUUAUAAAUAUUGUAGUGUGCCUUGCGCCUUAUGCUAAUGGAAAUGACUAAUGGUUGUCAUUAUCUUCAUUCAAUCUCAUAAAAAACUUCCUCAGGAGAGAACUGAUCAUAGGUUGAAUGCUACUUAAACUUAAACUGUUUCUCUAAAACACAGAAUAUAAAAAGCACUUAAGUACAAGAGGUUGGAUGGAUAAUUUAUUUUGUUUUGAGUAUGUUUGAUGACUAUUACUGUUGUUAAAUUUGGCAUGAACCGAAUUGAUACCCAUAUACGAGUGCCUUAUAGAUACCUAUAUGUAUGGCUGCAUAAUGCUUUACAUUUGUUCUGCUCAUCUGGGACUGUAGGUGAAGAUGUAUGAUAGAAAAACCAAAAGCUGGAAUAAAUCUGACAAAGACUGUGUGGAGGUUCGAUGUUUUUAACAAUGAAGGCCAACUAAGAAGAGAAUUUGGAUCCAAACCAACAGCGUGAUUCUGAAGUGCCUUAUGAAUAACCACCACUGGAUAAAAAUAUAUGUGGAAUAUAUUAAUAUGUUAAUUAUGCAGACUGAAAAAGAAGAGGUUAAUUUGGGUUGGGAUUUAAAAAGAUGACUUCAUAGAAGAAAUGAGAUUUGAAUGAAAGGUCAAAAUGGACAGAAGGUAGGUGAAACAGAACUUUUUCUUUUACAUUUUAGCUCAAAAUAAAAUCUUGCCUUUAGAGACUUUUUUCCUGCAUUUCAGAUUGCUAACUGAAUUGAUCUAGAAUAGAUAAUAAAAGUUAUAACAAUAAAUACCUGGAAAUGUUCAAGUAUCUUAUAAUAUAUCUAUGACAUGGCUACAUAAAACUCAGGUUUAAAGUCUUGCUUGAAAGUUUGUAUAUUAUUAUAGAUGAACAUUAAUAUUGGUAAUAAAGAAAUUUUAUCACAAUUAGUAAAUGUAAUUAAGAUUGCAAACUGCCAUGGACAGGAUCUGUAUUUUAUUCAAAUUUGGGUUCUUAGAUCUUUAGCAUAGGGAUUGGUAUCUAGAAUAUGCAUAACACAUUUGUUUGUUGAAUGAACGAGACAUUUGGAUUUUCUUGGUUUAUUCAUUCCAUCUUGUUUGUUGGGUGGAUUUCAGUGGUCUCCAUUUGGAGGAUCCAGUAUUUUACACAUGGAGGUUUUGGUUUGUUUGUUUGUUUCUUGUCCAGAACCAACGAGCGGUCAGACUGUCAACAAUCAUUAGCUUGUAAGAGUAAGCUUUUAGGCUUUUUCCUUCCCAAUGAAAAGACUGAAGGGAAAGAAGAAGAGUGGAAAAGGCAAAGAAGUUGCAAUCAUCUUAGCAGCAGGGAAUUCUCCAUCCAUGUUGAUGCCCAGAACAGCUGGCAAACCCCUUCUCAGACCAGCCUCUCCAGAGGGAGGAGCAGGCAGAGUCACCAGACCCCUCCAUGGGGAGGAGCAUGGCUGUCCUAGCCCCUUCCACUGACCUGCUUUUUUGUAGAACAGGAUUGUCGUGUCAUUGUUUUGGUUUCGGUUGUUAAUAGAGUUUUAGAGUUUAGAGUUACUAGACAACCACCAAGAUCACUCAAAUUCUUCAUCUUACUGCAUUGUAUCCCCCUGGUGCCAGUCAAGCCAAGCUUUCUUAGCAUUUUGUUGUUACUGUUGUGAAAAAAAAUGUCAGGAGAUAUUCAUAGCUCCCCAGUGGAAUUUUAUACUACUUUUGGAAACAGUUUUGUAGGGGGUACAAAUAAUGGGAAGAAGAAAGAAGGAGCAGAGAACAAAACACAGAUGUGAAAGAGUACAGUGAGCCAACGACAGAGAGCUUUGAUCUUAUUUUUCAUCUAUGUGUUUUGCAGCAUAAAGGGGAAAGUGGAAGGCAUCAUAUAGUGUUCAGUUUUAGACAUGUAUUUCUAAAACAUUUUUCGGGGGAGACAGCUUUGAUAGUAAAGACAGACACUUAGGUUGGUGUCAGAGAAGGGACGAGUAGGAACCAGAAGAAGGAGCCUGGGCAGAAGCAACUGUCACAGUACAGCUUGCUGUGAGCUCAGCCUUGGUGCCACUCAAGAGAAGUCCUGGUUGCCCUCCCAUUUAUUGCUUACUCUUCAGUUCACAUGGCUCUAGGCUAGAGGAGCUUAAACAAAUGGCCAUUCUUCUCUAAAAGACCAUUGAAUGAACUCUUGAGGUGACUAUAUUCUGUAAGAGACACAUGGAAUUCUUGGUUGGACCAAACCCAAGACUUCCACAUUGCUAAUUGGAGUCUUCAUAACCAUACUGGCUGCAAAAUAACCUAAGGAACUGUGGCUUGGAAAAUGUCUAGUACCUGGCUCAAGGCAUAUAUCUACUGGCCAUCGUAUGAGUGGUUGCACUUUCUCGGCCUCCCCUCUGCCUUUUCCAGCUGCUACAUGAUUGCCUCAUCCCAGGCAAGCCUAAUUAUCAUCAUUGAAAAAGGCACCAAAAAUAAACAUGAUUACAUUAUUCUUUGUAAGCAGUGAUUGAACAAGAACAUAUCUAAAACAGUUUAAUUCACAGUGAGUUGCAUAAAACAGCUGAAAAUAAAAUGAAUUCAUGUUUUAAGAAUAUUUCAAGAGUGGAUCAUCACAUCCAUGGCAUGCAUGUCAUCUUGAGCACCAUUAGUAAUUUUAAUCAGCCAGUGGUGUGCUGGAGCCACAAGCUCAUGAGAUGCGAGUAUAUGCAUCCCUUCUCAACUAGGCUUCAGUGACUUCACUUUUGUAGCUUAAAGUGGACCGUGGUGGGACUGCUUAUACCACUGAAAUUGGCAAAUGCUGUGUCUUAGUCUGUUCAAGCUGUCAUAAAAUCCUGCAGAUUGAGUGGCUCAUAAACAACAGAAAUUUAUUUCUCACAGUUCUGGAGGCUGGAAGUCUGAGAUCAGGCUGUGGCCAGGUGAGGGCCCUCUUCCACGUCAUAGACUUCUUGGAUCCUCACGUGGUAAAAGUCACGAGGGAGCUCUGUGGGAUCUCUUCUGUAAGAGCACCAAUCCCAUUCAAGAGGGUACCAUGUUCAUGACCAAAUCACCUCCCAAAGGCCCCACCUUCCAACACUAUUGUAUUGGGUGUUAGAAUUCCAAUACGUAAAUUUGGGGGUCAAGGAGGACCAUAGAAAACAUUCAGACCAUAGCACACUACAAAUCAGGGCUUUUUUCUUUCUUUCUUUUGCAGAGAGCCAGUGAGCCAGUUUACCAGCACACCACUGAGUUACAUGCACGUUGUAGAGGAAGAGACACCAUAUAAAUAUAUAUCUCUGUAAUUAAGAAUUUUGCUUGCUGGGUAAAUAUUAAGAAAACAUUGCUUAAGAGAGACAGUGUUUUGUUAGACUGCCAAGGCCCUUAUCUUUUAUUAGCUAUCAAUGAGCCUCCCUGUGUCUUAGUCUCUACGUUCUUAAAAUAAGAACAUACCUACUUCAUAGGAUGGUUCUGAUGAUGAAAUGGUGCGAUAUAUGUGAUGUACUUUAAAAGUGCCAGGCACAAAGAAGGUACUCGAUAAGUAUUUCUAUUAGUAUCAACAGGAGAGGAGACUAGAUGGU